UUAGGCCUUGCUGCAGUAGAGCGAGCUCGGAAAAGGCAGGCGUCCCGCAUCACAUGGCUGCGGGCAGGCGAUGUGCCAACUGCCUUCUUCCAGGCAAAGAUCAAUUCUAGAGCUCGCAAAAAUUUCAUACAUACUCUGCAUGGGCCAGUGGGUGUAGUCACCGCACAGGAAGACAAAGAGAAGCCGAUCCAUGAUCAUUUCCAUUCUCCGUUGGGAACGACGGUGCAUCGGAGCACCACCAUCAAUUGGACCUCACUCCAACUGCCACAAAUUCAAGGCGGAGGCUUGGACAACCCCUUCAUAGAGGAAGAAAUGUGUCGUGCGAUCAAAUCUUCCCUGGCCGAGCGAUAG
rnacentral:rRNA from 1 species